CAGCCGCCACGGGAAUACAGAGGGUGCGAGCGUUAAUCGGAUUUACUGGGCGUAAAGCGUGCGUAGGCGGCUAAUUGAGUCGGAUGUGAAAUCCCCGAGCUUAACUUGGGAAUUGCAUUCGAUACUGGUUAGCUAGAGUGUGGGAGAGGAUGGUAGAAUUCCAGGUGUAGCGGUGAAAUGCGUAGAGAUCUGGAGGAACAUCAGUGGCGAAGGCGGCCAUCCGGGACAACACUGACGCUGAGGCACGAAAGCGUGGGGAGCAAACAGGAUUAGAUACCCCCGUAGUCCCUGUCUCUUAUAC
rnacentral:rRNA from 1 species